rnacentral:rRNA from 1 species
AGCGUGGGGAGCGAACAGGAUUAGAUACCCUGGUAGUCCACGCCGUAAACGAUGAGUGCUAAGUGUUAGAGGGUUUCCGCCCUUUAGUGCUGCAGCAAACGCAUUAAGCACUCCGCCUGGGGAGUACGGUCGCAAGACUGAAACUCAAAGGAAUUGACGGGGGCCCGCACNGCGGUGGAGCAUGUGGUUUAAUUCGAAGCAACGCGAAGAACCUUACCAGGUCUUGACAUCCUCUGACAACCCUAGAGAUAGGGCUUCCCCUUCGGGGGCAGAGUGACAGGUGGUGCAUGGUUGUCGUCAGCUCGUGUCGUGAGAUGUUGGGUUAAGUCCCGCAACGAGCGCAACCCUUGAUCUUAGUUGCCAGCAUUCAGUUGGGCACUCUAAGGUGACUGCCGGUGACAAACCGGAGGAAGGUGGGGAUGACGUCAAAUCAUCAUGCCCCUUAUGACCUGGGCUACACACGUGCUACAAUGGGCAGAACAAAGGGCAGCGAAGCCGCGAGGCUAAGCCAAUCCCACAAAUCUGUUCUCAGUUCGGAUCGCAGUCUGCAACUCGACUGCGUGAAGCUGGAAUCGCUAGUAAUCGCGGAUCAGCAUGCCGCGGUGAAUACGUUCCCGGGCCUUGUACACACCGCCCGUCACACCACGAGAGUUUGUAACACCCGAAGUCGGUGAGGUA